rnacentral:RNase_P_RNA from 1 species
AGAGUUGGUUGGAUGACUGCUGACAAUUUGUUAGAGGAAAGUCCGGACUUCACAGAGUAGAGUGCCAGGUAACACCUGGGAGGCGUGAGCUUACGGAAAGUGCAACAGAAAUUAUACCGCCAUGAAUUUGGUAAGGGUGAAAUGGUGGGGUAAGAGCCUACCGCGUAUUUGGCAACAAAUGCGGCAGUGCAAACCCCACUUUGAAGCAAAACCAAAUAGGAAUCUUCUUAGGUUACUCGCUUAGGAUUCGGGUAGGUUGCUGGAGCAAUGCGGUGACGCAUUGCCUAGAUAGAUGGUCAUUUAAUACAGAAUCCGGCUUAUAGACCAACUCAUUUA